rnacentral:rRNA from 1 species
UACGUAGGGCGCAAGCGUUUGUCCGGAAUUAUUGGGCGUAAAGAGCUCGUAGGCGGCUUGUCACGUCGGGUGUGAAAGCCCGGGGCUUAACCCCGGGUCUGCAUUCGAUACGGGCUAGCUAGAGUGUGGUAGGGGAGAUCGGAAUUCCUGGUGUAGUGGUGGAAUGCGUAGAUAUCGGGAGGAACACCAGUGGCGAAGGCGGCUUCCUGGACCUGAUCGACACUGAGGAGCGAAAAGCGUGGGGAGCGAGUCCGG